GCUUUCCUGUGGAUCAGUUGGCAGAGCAAUGUGCCAACAACGCAAAGGUCGUGGGAUCAAAUCCCAGGAAAAGCA